rfam:Aspergillus wentii DTO 134E9 unplaced genomic scaffold ASPWEscaffold_2, whole genome shotgun sequence.
GGCCUCUUGGCUCAAUGGUAGAGUGUUGCUCUCCUACUUCUUUCAGUUUCCGAACAGAACUGGAGAUCAAGCAAUGGUUGCGGGUUCGAGUCCCGUGGGGGUCG